rnacentral:ncRNA from 2 species
CUUACACUGCGGGCUGUUGGUGCUCGUGCCGGCGUUCACGCCGGCGCAGUUAAACGGGAAGCAGAGGAGGGGGACCCACCGGGUGCUCCUUCAGCCUGCGCUGCCCCCGCAACGGUCAGCGGACGAAGCCAGAACGCCUGCGUUCACACUUCCGCUCUCGCGCACAUGCCACUGGAGUCUCCGGCUCUGGGAAGGUCGCGAGGGUCGUUCCGCCAGCCCGGAUACCGGCCAACGGGAGGCGUGCUGC